UUUUUGGUUUGGAGGAAGGGAAUGC
rnacentral:piRNA from 1 species